GGGGUGUACGGAGGGAGGGUGAGAUUGUAGUGGCAGUUACAGCCAGUAGACUACUCGAGUCACCGCCUCAGUUCCCUGCUGGCUGCUUGCAGUGCAGGGUGUUACAGUGAUUCUCGCUGCCCCUGGCACUUGGUGCUACCUGUUGCUUCCCCAGGCACCUCAGUGCCACCCGUUGUGUGCUACUUGCUACCCUUGGCACCUCACAGCCACCUGUUCUUCCCUUGAUCCAUAUUCUUGCUUCAGUCUCAACUUAAACCUCAUUGAAUUCAUACUUUAGCUCACCCUACUGCAUUCUGAAACUGCGCAAAUUCUUGGAAACGCUAGUGCAGUAACACUUUAAAGUGCCUGCUACCUCCGUCGUCCGUCCUAGUCCAGUGAUAACCUGAACACUAACUACGAUUAUUCCAUGAGUCUCUUCUCAACGGAGUGCGCCCCUUUGACCAGAGUUAGUUCAACCCAGUGUGAGGAAGUGCUUUUGGUCAGUGCCGUUACCUGGCACAGCUACAAGUGACCUUUUUUUCUCCAAAAUGGGUUCAAUGAUGAGAAAUUUCAAUUACUCCGAUAUGGUAAACAUGAGGAAAUUAAAACUUCAUAAGAGUACAAAACAAAUUCCUUCCACAAAAUAGAGCAAAAAACCAACGUCAAAGACCUGGGAGUGAUCAUGUCGGAGGAUCUCGCCUUCAAGGACCAUAACAUUGUAUCAAUCGCAUCUGCUAGAAAAAUGACAGGAUGGAUAAUGAGAACCUUCAAAACUAGGGAUGCCCUGCCCAUGAUGACACUCUUCAGGUCACUUGUUCUAUCUAGGCUGGAAUAUUGCUGCACACUAACAGCAUCUUUCAAGGCAGGUGAAAUUGCUGACCUAGAAAAUGUACAGAGAACCUUCACGGCGCGCAUAACGGAGAUAAAACACCUCAAUUACUGGGAGCGCUUGAAGUUCCUGAACCUGUAUUCCCUUGAACGCAGGCGGGAGAGAUACAUGAUUAUAUACACCUGGAAAAUCCUAGAGGGACUAGUACCGAACUUGUACACGAAAAUCACUCCCUACGAAAGCAAAAGACUCUGAAGACGAUGCAACAUCCCCCCAAUGAAAAGCAGGGUGAAAAGCAGGGGUGUCACUAGCACGUUAAGAGACAAUACAAUAAGUGUCAGGGGCCCGAGACUGUUCAACUGCCUCCCAGCAUACAUAAGGGGGAUUACCAAUAGACACCUGGCUGUCUUCAAGCUGGCACUGGACAAGCACCUAAAGUCGGUACCUGACCAGCCGGGCUGUGGCUCGUACGUUGGAUUGCGUUCAGCCAGCAGUAACAGCCUGGUUGAUCAGGCUCUGAUCCAUCAGGAGGCCUGGUCACAGACCGGGCUGCGGGGGCGUUGACUCCCGGAACUCCCUCCAGGUAAACUCCAGGUAUGCUGAGAAGUGCUUGAAAGAACACAAUGCAUGUCAUUUUCAACCUCCAAUCUACUUCGUUCCUUCAUUUUCAUUUGCAACAGAAUCAAAAACCCUGAUUCACAAAGAUAUGUGGACACAAAUGGAAGUGCAUGGAUAGCUCUUUCUGCCACUUUGAAAUAGGAAUGGCACAUCAAGGGUCAAAAUUUUGUGGCUGAUUUUUCAUCGAACAUGUCUCUUGCUCCCUAAUCAGUCUUCAGCUCCAGAAAUUCAUCCUGACAAUCAUCAGGAACAUUUUUCAACUGACAAUUUAAAUGGAUUUCGCAAUAAAUCCAACUCCUCAUCACUUGAGUUCAGGAAAAUAGAGGCUGAAUUAAUUUUCCAUUGUUGUCAUA